rnacentral:rRNA from 1 species
GGGUCAGUAGGUUGGUCGUGCCACCGGUACGUACUGGUCUCACUGAUUCCUCCUUCCUGAAGAACCGUAAUAACAUUAAUUUGGUGUUGCGGGGAAACAGGACUGUUACUUUGAAAAAAUUAGAGUGUUUAAAGCAAGCUAACGCUUGAAUACAUUAGCAUGGAAUAAUGAAAUAGGACGAUCGAUCCUAUUUUGUUGGUUUCUAGGAUUGACGUA